GACCGACGAAGCGGACAUGUUUAUCGUUCUCACAGCUUGUGCCUGGUGCUAGCUCACUGCCAGCUAGCUUCAAAAUACCAGUUUAAGUGGAGUGAACUGGUUAGCGGUGCUCGCAGCUGGUUCUGCUCCGGGCUGAGCGUCACUCAGCCGGUGCUGACGCAGGUGGACCCUGGCUCCUCCAGAUGCUUUACUAAACAUAAAGUCAACUCGGACAGGUGUGACGUCACUUCCAGAUGUGGAGCCAUGACGUGUCGUCCACUGGACAUGAACCUUAAGGACCCAGCGUGGGCUUCAACAGCGAGCGCAGAGUCGGGUGGUGAUGAGCGAGGCGGCGUCGGGCGUCCUGUGCAGUGAAGAGGAUCCGCACGCGGCGCCUCUCAGGCCGCUUCCAGAGCAGGUCUGAGACCAGAUCCGUAGCAUCCUUGGCUGCGACCUGCGUAUGUUUACCUCUGGAUUUAUGUGUGAUUAACCAUGAUUGGAUCGCCACCCAAUCAUCCAAGACGCAUUUUAAUGCAAGGUGUAAACUGAGUAAUAAACCUAUCACUCUAAAUAACUGUCUUGUGUGU
rnacentral:lncRNA from 1 species